rnacentral:tRNA from 1 species
GGGCCUGUAGCUCAGUUGGCAGAGCACCGCGUUUACACCGCGGCUGUCGUCGGUUCGAUCCCGGCCGGGCCCACCA